rnacentral:sRNA from 1 species
UAUACUUCAACUGCAGCGAUUUUGCAGAAAUUGGUUAUCAUCACUAUUGCUAAGAAGCCAUUAAAGCUCGACUCGUCCUGACAUUUUGGAACUUUUUAAAUUGAAAUGCAAACUACAUUUUGUGCAGCUAUGGAAUAUAUUAACGGAGUUGUUUUCAUUAAUAUCUACAGCCUGACGCACACCUUUUUUGUUUUUCUCUGAAUCACUUAAACAUUGUGUAUAUAGCAUAACGGCACUUCUAUAAAAAUUAAUAUGGCGCUUUCCUCUUUGCUGAUUUUAUACAAUUGGGAAUAUCUUCAA